AAUAAAGUGCCUGAACUUAAAGGAUUAUUUUGAUAGAAUAAAAAAUGUAAUUUUUUUACCUUUAUUA
rnacentral:tRNA from 1 species